UACGGAGGGUGCAAGCGUUAUCCGGAUUCACUGGGUUUAAAGGGUGCGUAGGUGGGCAGGUAAGUCAGUGGUGAAAUCUCCGGGCUUAACCCGGAACUGCCGUUGAUACUAUUUGUCUUGAAUAUUGUGGAGGUAAGCGGAAUAUGUCAUGUAGCGGUGAAAUGCUUAGAUAUGACAUAGAACACCAAUUGCGAAGGCAGCUUACUACACAACGAUUGACGCUGAGGCACGAAAAGCGUGGGGAUCAAACAGG
rnacentral:rRNA from 1 species